GCCAACCUUUCUUUCCUUUCUUCCCUCCUGCCAUUUCUCUAUUCAUUUAGCACGUAGUAGGCACAUUAAUUGAGUGGUCUACUAGACUAUAUUACAAACUUGAAGUGUAUCGUCUCAACUCUAUGUAAGUAGACAAAUCGCGUGGGACUAUCACUGUGAUGUAUUGUAUAACAAAUCAUACACACACACACAAGUUUCUCUCGGAUGUAGCUGUUUUUCAUUCAACUUUGGACUUGAGUUGAUUCAAAGGAUUACAUUCACAUCAUUGGAUUACUUGAAGUGUAUUGUUUUUUCGGUCGACCUACACUAAACAUACAACAACAGAGAUGGUUGUUCGCCCGCGGCCUUUGAAAGAAACUUCUCAAGGCCGGCUCUAAUUCUAUGCUGCCAUGGCCUCAACCUGAUAACCCCAAGUGGCCAGGUGAACUGAACUACCAGCAGACGGCAAGAUUGCACGUGAUCUUUGUUCUUAGGAAGUAUUUGUUCUAAAAAAAAAAGUGCUAAAAGUGCUAAAAUAUUACGGAAGUACAACCAAAACCCCAGUUCAACCUUAUGGUCUAACCGUGGGAUAACAUGCCUUGCUGGUGAAUAUAAAUAAAAUGUGCGCAUCGCGUUGAAACACGUGAUGCAGGAUUCACAAGAUGGCAGGAGCAGACGACUGAGUCUUUGGAUUAUCUUAUUUACAUUCCAGUAGAGUGUCCAGUUUUUUUUUCUUUCUUUCUGGUUUGAACCUCAACAAGCCAAUUAGGCAAACGGAAAGGGAGAUAACAAACGCAAAAAAGAAAGCAAAAAGAGGCUGCAGUUUUCAAAUUAUAUAAAAAAAAAAAAGGAUUCUGUUCAGGGGAGAAGAAAAAACACGUGGGAAAAUACAGUUGUACAGGAGAGGGAGGGAAAAGCGCGGGGAAUUCAAGGGAGGAUACUGACGAGGUGAAGUGACGUCACAGUAGUCUGUCUUGUGAAAGAGACGCGUCAUUACUCACCUCAAGCUUGACCUAAAAAAAAAAUUUGGUAGAAAAAAAAAAGGUAUUUGCUCACGAAGUGAAACCAUGGGAAAACGAGCGAGUAAGCUCCGACCUGAGGAGGUAGAGGAGCUGAAGUCACACACGUACUUUACAGAGUCAGAGAUCAAACAGUGGUAAGUAUUGUCUUUGUGUUGCCUUUG
rnacentral:sRNA from 1 species